AGGUUUCUAGUGAGGAUACCAACUAAGGUGACAGCUAAUGAACCAUUUACUCCUGAAAUUUAAGCCUAGGUCUGAGUUCAUCAUCCAGUUUAUAUUCAAAGAAAAGGGUUAUUAUGUAGAACUUGUUGCUCAAUCCUAACAAAUGCAACAGCAUAAAGAGGGAAAAGAGAUGUUCGGAGAACCUGUGACUUUGCAUGCAACUGGGGAGCACAUUCAAAAUGUUUUAAAGCUGGAGGAAGCUGAGAGAGAGAGACCUAUUUGUAAGAGUUACAAUCUCAAAACAAAAGGCAGGUAGGGCUGGAAUACCACUUUUGUAACGCUUGAAUGCUAGAAUUCAGCCUGUGCUUUCUUGUAUCAAAUUCAUGACAAUUUAGCAGUAUUUCAGUGCAGUUCUUUAUCAGUUUUAGAUUACAUCAUGCUGUGAAUUGCUUUAAUCUGUUAAUAUUGAUUCAUGUAAAUCAUUUGGUUUGAGGUCUUCAAAUAGGAAGUUGAGGUGCAUUUCAGUGUACAAUGUACUCAUUUUGUCCUUGAAAAUCAUUUAGAAAAAAAGCAAGCUGCAGUUGCAUAGAUUAUAUGACUUUUCUGAAAGGUUAGAUUUACCCCUUAGAACUGUCAACAGUGGGACAAAAGCCUUCCAUUGAAAGAAUGAGAAUGGAGGAGAAAAUGGUUGGUGCUUAAAGCUGAUUGAGGGAGUCACAGAAGUACUUCAGGUCUCAAGGGCUAUGUAGCCCAAAGCCUGAUUCAAAGAAGUCAUGCUCUUUUUAAGAAGAGUAGCUAGAGCAGCAGAAGUGAUACCUGAAUUCUAGUUCCUGAACUUUAAUCUACAUCUAGCUAGGGUUUUUUUUCCUAAUUACCUAAAUUUUACUUGAAUAUCUCCUUCUUGAAUAUCUUCUUCAACUGUUGCAGGGCUUUGCUGUGAGCUGAGAAACAUUUACUAUGCUCUGCCUGCUGGGUUGCAUUUUGUUCUCCAUCCAUUUGUACUGGGCUAACGUUUGUGAGUGAAGGGUCUUUUUGUUUUGCAAAUCCUUUAGGAUCCCUCAGAAAGACUGCUGGUGUAGAAAUAUCAGUGUUAAUCAGAUGCAUAUCAAGCUGUGAUAAAGGGAAGUUGCACUGGAAAAAAAUGGAAGUAAUAUUGUCAUAUGUUAUUGAUUAUCAUUGGUCUUUACUCCUGUAACUAAGAAGCUCCCACCUGAAUAUGUUCGGUUUUGCUGAAACUUUAUGGGAGCUGGAGCUGAGUAAAUGUGAUGACCGGAUUGGUGCACCUGAGCAAGGCAAGGUGUUGGCAGAAUUGUUCUGCUGCUUGCUAAAGGACUAUGGAGGUUUCUUGGGGAAACUGUCUUUCCUGUAUGGAAAGAAAAGUUUGCUCCUUCCUGACAUGAGGGACACUGUUAUUACUUCUCCAGCCUACUCUGAGUUUGCACGAGUGACUGAAAUGUUCCCAGACAAGCAGAUGGGAAAAUAGCCUGUAAAUCAUUAUUGUUAUAAAUGGCUUGUAAAACUUUGGAUGUUAAAAGGUAUUCCAGAAGUAGAAGGGGUUGGGGAAUAAUGAGGAAGCAGAGAAAGACUGCAGUAGCACAAGAUGUUCAGAGUUGGCCAAGAAGAAAUUUUAAGUGUAUCUUACUUCAGAUACGUCCUCUUGCACAAUUGGACUUUUCUGUUCUUCUAGGAUGGAUUCCUACCCUGUAAGAGAGCCCCCAAUAGCAUGUUUAUUGUCUUUCCUGCGAAGAGAUGAGAGGAAAGGGGUGCCCAGCUCUCAAACCCAUAAUAAAGUCCUUCUUUCUAUGGAAUUUUUCAGACCGCAGUAAAAUCUGAAAUAUACUUCUACAGGUUCUUUUAAAAUUACUCUCUAGCUCAUAGGCAUCCUGCCCGUUAAAAAGCAGAGAAAAAGAUUGCAUUCUCUGUUAUAUAUUUAGAAGUAUUUUAGCUUCUUAUUUGCUUUAUCAGGCCAAAGCCCUUAAGAACCUUCAGGAUAUGACAAGUGUCUAUUCAGAAGUACUACAGUGGUGCUGUGCUUCUGUAGCCCAGUUUGAUCACUGCAUAAUCCAGGCAGAGAGAUGUACUCUCAAAAGGACAGUGUACCACAGAAAAGGUGAUGUGGGAGGUCAAUGAAAGUACUGUCAGUUUUCCUGAAUAUAUACUUAGGAGGUGGUUUUCUUAUAUACCCAGAAAUACAUAUAAUCCUAGUCAGGAAGAAAUCCAGAUGAUUACAUUUGGAUUGAUAAUGGAUUCUUCCUCAGCUUUGUUUCAAUGUUAUGUUAUAUUGCCUGUCUUACUGACUAUUUCUCCCCUCCCCAAGCUAAAACUGAGGAGGAUCUGCAGAAUGUUGCUUGUAUUUAGGAAUGUACUUCGAUGUACUUUGGAAGGAGAAAAAAAUGUUUUCAUUUUCAGCCACACCUGUUUGAAGGCCUAAGAGAUUUGAAGAGGAUUUGGUCCAGUUAGAAAUCAGGCUAGAGAUCGUAUAUCAAAAUAUGAAUCAGAAUUUUCAGAGCUGAAAAUAUAAAACUAAUCAUCUUGGUUAAGAAGAAAUAAAAUCUUUUAACUCACUCUGGUCAAUUAAUGUUAGUCCUUCCAUAGGAAGUUAACAAGUACAUAGGAAACAAUGGGACAGAUUAAUAGAGGAGCCUUAUGUGUGUAGACACUUGCUCAAUCACCCAAAGCUCCUAAAGGUUCAGCUGCAAGUCUGGAAAUGUAAGCGCUGGUGUCUAAAAUAGAAGACAUGGAAAUAGAUGCUGGUUUUGAUUUUCUUUCUACAUUGUGUGGUUUACCACAAAAAGCAAAAAAACCCCAAACAAAUAAAGCCCCCAGGUAAUGGUCAUGGUUCUGGAGGGCUUGAAGGGCAUAUGCCUUCACUCACCACAAAGCAAAUACAUAAUAAAGGAUAUGUAGCUUCAGCUACAAAACAUGCAUGCAGGAAUCACUACAUACAUAGCAGCUGUAAGGAUUAAGUGAACAGAUAAUUCUUUUCCAUAUCUCUUUUUAAUAAUAAUUAUCUGUACUUAAAAGAAGGAAUAAUAUUUCAUCAUCCACAUCUGAGGAAUAGCGCUUUUUUUUUUUUUUUUUUUUUUUGAUACACAGCAGCACUCAGAAUUCUUACUGCAGAAAAAAAGGCCACAGAGCAGACAAGGUGAAAUGACAGAUUCAGGUAAAACAUGAGCAGCCAGAUCCCAACAAGCAAGUUCAGUGCAUUGACAAUCUU